CUGGCUCAGGAUGAACGCUGGCGGCGUGCCUAACACAUGCAAGUCGAGCGGAGUUUAUUAAGGAAGUCUUAGGACGGAAAGAAUAAACUUAGCGGCGGACGGGUGAGUAACACGUGAGCAACCUGCCUUUAGCUGGGGAAUAACACUGGGAAACCAGUGCUAAUACCGCAUAAUAUCCAAGUGUGGCAUCACAUUUGGAUCAAAGGAGAAAUCCGGCAAAAGAUGGGCUCGCGUCCGAUUAGAUAGUUGGUAGGGUAAAGGCCUACCAAGUCAACGAUCGGUAGCCGGACUGAGAGGUUGACCGGCCACAUUGGGACUGAGACACGGCCCAGACUCCUACGGGAGGCAGCAGUGGGGAAUAUUGGGCAAUGGGGGAAACCCUGACCCAGCAACGCCGCGUGAAGGAAGAAGGUCUUCGGAUUGUAAACUUCUUUGAUCAGGGACGAAGAAAUGACUGUACCUGAAGAACAAGUCACGGCUAACUACGUGCCAGCAGCCGCGGUAAUACGUAGGUGGCAAGCGUUAUCCGGAUUUACUGGGUGUAAAGGGCGUGUAGGCGGGUCUGCAAGUCAGAUGUGAAAUCUCCGGGCUUAACUCGGAAGUGUCAUCUGAAACUACGG
rnacentral:rRNA from 1 species